rnacentral:telomerase_RNA from 1 species
CCGGGGAUGAGGUGGCUUGGGAGUACACUUGCACCAAAGCAUGCUUAUGUGUGCUCAAACCCUAAACUUUCCUCUUAAGUGAGGUUCGAGUUAACCUUACCAAAGAGGUACUUUGUCCAGUAUUUAACCUCUGUAAUAAAAAAAAUACUGAUGCCUUGCACUUGUACUCCCAAAGUAGAUAUGCUACGGGAAGGCUUGAAGGGGGUUGCCUCGGCAACCGAUAUCCUCGCCUUCCAAGUCCCCAUU